CCAUAUGAUCCGUCAAAUGGCAGGCGUAGUGCCUCAAAGUAGUAGUGCUGCUCUUCACCACCUUGUCCAAUGACAACCAAGCGCAAACGAUUUAACGCCGUAACGGGAUUAUUCUCUUUCGGGUCACCCCAAUAGUAUUCGCUUUUGUAGAAAUUCAGCGGGCCCUUCAAGACCAAGGGCAUGCUGAACGACUUGCUCUUAACUGCGUCACGCACCUCGCCGAUAUACGUUCGUGAGGGACCUGGCUGUGUNNNUCAGCACAUCGACGUAAAUGCGGAUUCGGUCGGUCGUCAGCGCAACCACAGCGGAGAGAAUGAGUG
rnacentral:misc_RNA from 1 species